rnacentral:rRNA from 1 species
UACAGAGGUGGCAAGCGUUGUUCGGAAUUACUGGGCGUAAAGGGCGCGUAGGCGGCCCGUCAAGUCCCGUGUGAAAGCCCCCCGGCUCAACCGGGGAACUGCACGGGAAACUAGCAGGCUUGAGUUCGGGAGAGGGAAGCGGAAUUCCAGGUGUAGCGGUGAAAUGCGUAGAUAUCUGGAGGAAUACCGGUGGCGAAGGCGGCAUCCUGGACCGGCAUUGACGCUGAUGAGCGAAAGCUAGGGGAGCAAACGGG